rnacentral:rRNA from 1 species
UAGCCUAACGGCUGAACCAGCAACUUGGAGGAAUGUAUAGCAAUUGCUAUUUGCACUAAAUGUUUUAGUGUAAAAUCGACUUUGUCGAAUAAAAUUCUGGAUAGAAUUAUGAUAAUGACAUUACCUAUUCAUAAGUCUUGACCAAAUUACGUGCCAGCAGUCGCGGUAAUACGUAGAAGACAAGUGUUAUUCAUCUUUAAUAGGUUUAAAGGGUACUUAGACGGUAAAGAAAGCCUUCAAAAGGGACUAGUUUGCUAGAGUUUUAUGUGAAGGAGUUUUAAAGUACUACUGGUGUAGAGAUGAAAUUCAGUUAUACCUUACAUGGCACAGGUUAAGGCGAAAGCAUCUUCUUAUGUAAAAACUGACGUUGAAGGACGAAGGCUUUGUGUCUCGAACAGGAUUAGAUACCCUAGUAGUCUAAGCAGAAAAUGAUGAAUGUCAUAGAUUAGAUUUAAUUUGAUCUGUAAAUGAAAGUGUAAGCAUUCCACCUCAAGAGUAAUUUGGCAACAUUGGAACUGAAAUCAUUAGACCGUUUCUGAAACCAGUAGUGAAGUAUGUUGUUUAAUUUGAUAAUCCGCAAAAAACCUUACCACAAUUUGAAUAGAUAUAUUUUAUCAUACAAGCGUUGCACGGCUGUCUUCAGUUAAUGUCGUGAGACUUUGGUUAGUUCCAUUAAAUUAACGUAAACCCUUACUUUAUUUUUAUAUAAAGUAGUUCACCGCUAUAUUGGAUGUGAUAAUAGGGAUCAAGACAAGUCAUCAUG